rnacentral:rRNA from 1 species
GAUGAACGCUGGCGGCGUGCCUAAUACAUGCAAGUCGAGCGAACGGACGUGAAGCUUGCUUCUCUGAUGUUAGCGGCGGACGGGUGAGUAACACGUGGAUAACCUACCUAUAAGACUGGGAUAACUUCGGGAAACCGGAGCUAAUACCGGAUGAUAUUUUGAACCGCAUGGUUCAAAAGUGAAAGACGGUCUUGCUGUCACUUAUAGAUGGAUCCGCGCUGCAUUAGCUAGUUGGUAAGGUAACGGCUUACCAAGGCAACGAUGCAUAGCCGACCUGAGAGGGUGAUCGGCCACACUGGAACUGAGACACGGUCCAGACUCCUACGGGAGGCAGCAGUAGGGAAUCUUCCGCAAUGGGCGAAAGCCUGACGGAGCAACGCCGCGUGAGUGAUGAAGGUCUUCGGAUCGUAAAACUCUGUUAUUAGGGAAGAACAUAUGUGUAAGUAACUGUGCACAUCUUGACGGUACCUAAUCAGAAAGCCACGGCUAACUACGUG